UUCAUUUUAAAUUCAAAAAAUGAUUGAAUUCAAUAGAAAAGCACAUUUUGGAACAACAAUGGCGGCACAGAAAGGUGAGCUGGUUAGCUUAGACUGCAGCAAGGGUAAAAGAUAAUGGUCCACAAGAAAUAUCAAUAAUUUUUAAAUAAA